AGAGUUUGAUCAUGGCUCAGAACGAACACUGGCGGCGUGGAUUAGGCAUGCAAGUCGAACGAGAAAGUUUCCUUCGGGAAACGAGUACAGUGGCGAACGGGUGAGUAACGCGUGGGAAAUCUGCCCUUUUGUGGGGGAUAACAGCUCUAACGAGCUGCUAAUAUCGCAUAAGCCCUUUGGAUCGCAUGGUCCGGAGGGGAAAGAUGGCCUCUACAUGUAAGCUGUCGUAGAAGGAUGAUCCCGCGUCCCAUUAGCUAGUUGGUGGGGUAAAAGCCUACCAAGGCGACGAUGGGUAGCCGGCCUGAGAGGGUGUCCGGCCACACUGGGACUGAGAUACGGCCCAGACUCCUACGGGAGGCAGCAGUCGAGAAGCUUCCGCAAUGGGGGAAACCCUGACGGAGCGACGCCGCGUGAGUGAAGAAGGCCCUAUGGGUUGUAAAGCUCUGUCAGAUUGGGAAGAAAACUUCACGGGGAAUAUCCGUGAAGCUUGACGGUACCAUCAGAGGAAGCACCGGCUAACUCCGUGCCAGCAGCCGCGGUAAUACGGAGGGUGCAAGCGUUGUUCGGAUUCACUGGGUAUAAAGGGUGCGCAGGCGGCCCAAUAAGUCAGAGGUGAAAUAUGACGGCUCAACCGUCAAACGGCCCCUGAAACUGUUGGGCUUGAGUUCGAGAGAGGUAGGUGGAAUUCCAGGUGUAGCGG
rnacentral:rRNA from 1 species